UCAACAUUUUUUUCUCUGAACUUUCUCUUGUGUAAGUCCUUGGUAAAAUUAGAAGGUGUGUUUCCAGCACUGCUAUCAUUAAUUAAGGCUUUUUUUAAUCUUGCAGGAAUCCUGGCUUUCAAAUGGAUUUUAAUCAGCCUCCAAACAAGAGAGCACAGUCCCACACCAGGGGUCGAGGUCUGGCUGGAGGAGAGACCUGUCCCUUGUGGACGAUAUGCCAGCCUGCUGUUUAUAGAGCCCGGAAGGCCCCAGGGCCACAGUGGCACCGAGAGCCUAGAGAUCUCUGGCCGACUGCCCUUGGAGACCCUGAAACGAUGGUGCGCCCAGCCCAGGCGGUCAGCCAGUGACUCGAACACAGAGCCACAGAGCUCCGCCCGUGCAUGAGGACCAGAAAGCAGCAGAACACCAGCUGCAGAUCAUUUUGAGGGAGACAGAAAGGUGGCAGACAAGAAACAUGCAAGAUGCUCUGGCGCUGCCAUUAAUUGAUCGCAGUCGCUUGCUGGCUCAGAGCAUAUCACUCCCUGGACAGUGGCAAACGUCACUACACCAAAGGGCUGGGUCUUCUGCCUCUGGACUAUUCUACUCUGUCAUCUAUUGAUGUCUUUUUCCUGUAACAUAUUCAGUACAACCAAGCCUGG